rnacentral:rRNA from 1 species
UACGUAGGGGGCAAGCGUUGUCCGGAUUUAUUGGGCGUAAAGAGCGUGUAGGCGGCUAAAUAGGUCCGUUGUGAAAACUCGAGGCUCAACCUCGAGAUGCCGAUGGAAACCAUUUGGCUAGAGUCCGGAAGAGGAGAGUGGAAUUCCCGGUGUAGCGGUGAAAUGCGCAGAUAUCAGGAAGAACACCCGUGGCGAAGGCGGCUCUCUGGGACGGUACUGACGCUGAGACGCGAAAGCGUGGGGAGCGAACAGG